rnacentral:rRNA from 1 species
GAUGAACGCUGGCGGUGUGCCUAAUACAUGCAAGUCGAGCGACCGCACGAUAAGCUUUUUUUCUUGCUGUUUGCGGCUGUCGGGUGUGUAACACAUGCAUCACCUUCUUCUUUUUCUUGGUUUAUUUCGUGAAUCCACUUCUUCUACCGCCUCAUAUUUUCUACCGCUUGGUUCAUAAGUUCUUCACGCUUUUCCUGUCUCUUUUAGCUGUUUUCGGGUUGCAUUAGUUAGUUGGUAAGGUAACGGCUUACCAAGGCAACGAUGCAUAGCCGACCUGAGAGGGUGAUCAGCCACACUGGAACUGAGACACGGUACAGACUCCUACGGGAGGCAGCAGUAGGGAAUAUUGCACAAAGGGCGAAAGCAUGACGGAGCAAGGCCGCGUGAGUGAAGAAGGACUUCGGAUCGUAAAACUCUGUUAUUAGGGAAGAAAAGAAGUGUAAGAAAAUGUGCACAUAGUGACGGUACCUAAAGAGAAAGCAACGGCUAACUACGUG